UACGUAGGGUGCAAGCGUUAAUCGGAAUUACUGGGCGUAAAGCGUGCGCAGGCGGUUGUGCAAGACAGAUGUGAAAUCCCCGGGCUCAACCUGGGAACUGCAUUUGUGACUGCAUCGCUGGAGUACGGCAGAGGGGGGAUGGAAUUCCGCGUGUAGCAGUGAAAUGCGUAGAUAUGCGGAGGAACACCGAUGGCGAAGGCAAUCCCCUGGGCCUGUACUGACGCUCAUGCACGAAAGCGUGGGGGAGCAAACAGGG
rnacentral:rRNA from 1 species